GAUGAACGCUGGCGGCGUGCUUAACACAUGCAAGUCGAACGAUGAAGCCCAGCUUGCUGGGUGGAUUAGUGGCGAACGGGUGAGUAACACGUGAGUAACCUGCCCUUAACUCUGGGAUAAGCCUGGGAAACUGGGUCUAAUACCGGAUAGGAGCGUCCACCGCAUGGUGGGUGUUGGAAAGAUUUAUCGGUUUUGGAUGGACUCGCGGCCUAUCAGCUUGUUGGUGAGGUAAUGGCUCACCAAGGCGACGACGGGUAGCCGGCCUGAGAGGGUGACCGGCCACACUGGGACUGAGACACGGCCCAGACUCCUACGGGAGGCAGCAGUGGGGAAUAUUGCACAAUGGGCGCAAGCCUGAUGCAGCGACGCCGCGUGAGGGAUAACGGCCUUCGGGUUGUAAACCUCUUUCAGUAGGGAAGAAGCGAAAGUGACGGUACCUGCAGAAGAAGCACCGGCUAACUACGUG
rnacentral:rRNA from 1 species